AUUUUUGAACCUGUCCUGCAAAGCCUCCUUCUCUUACCACCACAGAGGCCCGAGCUGCAACCAACCUUGGGCUUCCACUUGCAUUCCUGAUGAGUCUCCAGAGGCAGAAUCUGUGGCAGCUCAACCUUGAAGCUCUGCUCCCACCCUAGCACCAGCCACGUUGAUCGGGGAGUCCACUCCAAUCUACCCUCAGGCCUCAGCUCCUUAACUUCUUCUCUUCUGUGCAUUCCAUGUGGUUUGAUGGCCUGCAAAGGCUUAUGCAUUGCUUAUGCUUAGGCAUUGAAAGCUUGUUCCUUGCUGUGGCGAUGUUGGUAGAUGGUGGGAAUUUUAGGAGGUGGGGCCUAGUGAGAGGCGAUUAGGCCCUUGGAGGUAUGCCAUGCAAAGGGACCCUGGGACCCCAGUCUCUUCCUCUCCCUCUUUGCUGCCUCCUGGUCCUGACCUAAAUAGUACUUUGCUAUACCAUGUGCUUUCACUAAGAUGUACUAUACGUCACCACAGGCCUAAAGCAAGGCUGUAAUGGGACUGGAAUCUUCAAAAAUGUAAACCAAAGUGAACCUUUUCUCUUUAUAAGGUGAUUAUCUCAGGUGUUUUGUUCAAGUGAUAGAAAACUGAUGGAUACAGCUGGUGACACCUGCAGCCGAUUCCCAUCAAGCUUUAUCUGUGCAACAUGCCUAUGUUAUUAUUAAUAAUCCUUAUUUCACAGAUUUGCACACUGAGGCAGAGGUGACAGAACCAGGAUCCAGAGUCAGGCAGUUUCCAUGAGAACCUAGACUCCUACUGAUUGCUUUCAUUGGCCCAUUGAACUGCGAACACACAAGAUGGAGCAGGGAGCUGCUGCUCUAGGAGUGGUUCAACUUGCUAUUGCUACAGUUCUCUAAGGCACCCAAAUGGGAAGUUUUCAUCUUCGGGGAAAGUGAGCUGCUUUUGCCAUCGCUGAACCCUCCGUCCAGCUGUCCCCUGACUUGCUUACCUAUGCGGGUUGAUGGAGUGACCCUCUUGUUUCGGGAUUUGGUUCUACCUGUUAAGGGGUAAGCCGAGGAGACACGGGGUCCCUUGAAGAGGUAGAAAACGAAAACAAGAAUAAUGUAACCCCGUGAGGCUCCGAGAUAACAGGAGGCUAGAGAUCUUAGGAGAGCAUUCCUGAGAGACGGAAAGGAAGAUAAAACCCAAGGCACCCAGUCAGCCGGACACGUGCCUGUGAGAUGAGGGAGUCCAUCAUGGCCAGUGGUGCGGACAUUCUGACAAUUCUUUUCUCAGACGAUAACAUCCUACCUUUGGGAGGACGAAGACAGAGCAUGCUCCAUGAGCUUCUCAGAUUUUAGGUCUCUUCGCAGCCACUAAAUCAAAUGGAAACUUUUUCUCCAGGGGAAAAAAAAAAAAAUCAUCAUUUUUUUUUUUUUUUUUUGGAUUUAAAAUAAGGGAAUCAGUGGCCAUUUAAAUUCAUUCAAGUCUAGCCAGGUGCCGUGGCGCACACUUGUCAGCCCAGUGACUCAGGAGGCUGAGGCAGGAGGAUAGCAAGUUGGAGGCCAGCUUCUGCAACUUAGCAAGAGCCUGUCUCAAAAUAAAAUUUAGACAGGACUGGGAUGUAGCUCCGUGGUAAAACACUCCUGGGCUCCAUCCUCGGUGCCAGAAAAUGAUAAUAAUAAAAUCCACUCAAAGCAGGUAGUCAUGAAACUUGCUUUGAAUGGUUAGGUGAGGCGGAUGGUUUUGUCUCUGUGGAAUUAGCACGGAAUUCACCCAGCUCAGGAGCCGAGGACCAAUGCCACAGUGUGCAGGGUAGGUGGGCCAAGGGACCUUUGCUUCCCAUCAUGACGAGCUCCUAGAAUCUCUACUGUUCUGAUUGCAAAAGGUCCAUUUUUGAAGAGUGAGAAGUUCAGGUUGGGUGACUGAAGGGCUUCUCCAGAAGAUGCAAGCAACCUCUGUUGACAAAAUGACACAGACCACCUUACUAACGAAUUCAAAAUCCCUAAGGAAGUACGUGAGGUUCCAAGCUUGGUUAGAGGUGGGACACUCUCUCAGAUGAAACAGAACAGGAUUUUGAGAAAAAUCAAGCUAUUACCAAAAUAUCGUCAAAAUUUUUUAAGGAAGCCGCAUCUAUCCUACAGGUAUUUUAUAAUUUUUUUUUUUUUUUGGAACGACUAUCCUGCUGAUCAUAGAAAAGAAUAAAUUAAUUAAAAUAUCUUCAACGUCCCUUUCCAUCGCUGUGACUGAUAAAAAUAUAUUGCAAACCUCGACCCAAAGAGUUGUUGUAAACUCAACCUAAAAAUAUAACCAGGAAGCAUUUCCAAUUCCCCUCUCAGGGAUUGUAAUGAUCAUAGGAGGCAUUUCUUAAGAUGCUGUGCAGUCGCUCACCCUUCAAUCAAACAAAGCCCCGCUCUCUAGCCUUCACUCAUUUUCCUAGGAGACCACAGCUGCUAUUCACAACCCACAGUCAUAGCAUUGACUAAGUAGUUCUGGAAAAGCAACUCAACGCAAGGAAAUUGUGAAAAUUCUAAGAAUUUACCAGGAUGUCAACCUACCCACUGCACUGAGUUCAAGCACAAGGAAAAUAUUGGGUACAUGUAUGACUGCCACAGGAUCAGUUCUGUGACUUUCAUGAAACUUUUGUCUCUUCCCGGACUCUGGCCAUUUUAGUGAGUGGCACCUUCAGAUUCGAGUACACACUUGGCAUCUAAGACCCUGCCUUCACCUGAGACAGGGAGUGCACCUUCGGGAAGAAGCGCUGUCUUCCCAGGGAGAAAGAAUGGGCUGCACAAACCGAGCGUGAUCUGUUUUCACGUCUGUUAUGCAGUCGCACACUGCAGUCGUAAUAGUAACCAUCUUCCCUAUUUUGUGCUUCACUAGGGCAUAGGCGGCCAAUUGUGUCGCCAGUCUGAGUCUGGAUCACUUUCUACUGACGGUUUUUAAUAACUGAAGACAUUUGCAGCUGGAAGGUGGCCAGCGGUGCUUGUGACAGAGCAGGGGAAGUGAAGGUGGGUGAGGGUGCUGACUCUGCCUGGGUCUGUGCUCCUCCGGAGGAGCAGAAUCAGCCAUUAAAAAAAAUCAAACCAUUGAGGCCGUGGGUGAAGGUCUGCGAGCUGUUUAAUGUCAUAAUCUGCCUGCUGUCUCCAUCAUCAAACUGAAUGGACUUCUAAGUCGAAAUGUCAUAAAGGCUCAGCAUAAAGGUUUAUAGAAGCCAGGUACCCGACCUACCGCCAAGCACGGCCGGUGGCAGGAAGUGUUUGUUAUGUCUUACUCAACCUUUUGGGGGAAAAAUAAAUAAAUAAAUCCGGAAACGUGCUUGUCCUGGCAAUGCUCAAAGCAUUAAGAAUGGAUCCUCUUAUCUGGAUGGGGUGAUCAGCCUCUGUAAUAAACAUAUCCAUUUCCUGUAAAAAAAUAAUUUUAAUCCAGAUUCCUUUCAUGGAAAAUGGUGUCAUGUUUUCCCCCCUGGUAUGUGGCCAAAAUGGGAGAGGAACAAUCCUUGCUAAAGAUGAAUUAUUUUUUUUUUUCUGAAGAGUUAUUUUAUGUUGUCAUUCUCACUUACAUUUUGAUCCUCCCUAAAAUAGCACAAAACAAAGAAAACACAAGCCUGCGAAUUUCAUUACAGGGCCUCUUAUAAAUGUGUACUCAAUGUAAAAAUGAUAUUUUUUUGGGGGGGGUCAGAUAGUCUUUGGAAUUCCUCCUUUCUAUACAAUCCCGGAUUAUUUUAAAGUUGGUGAUUCAUAUUACUCAACAUAAUGACAUAUUGUCCUGUUAUAAAAAUGUGAAAAACAGUUUCAAAGAUGCGACAAGAGCUGUCUUUCUAGGUCAAUUUACCAAAUAUUUACAAAUGUCUCACUUACCAGAUUAUUAAAACAACGUCCAUUAAAUUCUUACAAAUCCAUAAGAGGUUAUAAAACAGAAGAAAAAUAAAAAAGACAUUCGACACAUUAGUUUCCAGGGAAGUGUACCCAUUGGGGGGCAGAGAGCACAUAAUUGGUAUGGCUGAAAUUUAAAAAGACCAAAAGAGUUGGCAAGAAAAGACUAGAAGGAGUGAAUCAGGGACAGAAGAACAUGAUAGGAGAUCCCCAAACACAAAUUGAUAGAUAGAUGAAAGAGGAUUGUAGAUUUAGGCCACGCCCAAGAGCCAGAGGCCAGGAUGGGAGAGGAUAGAAGUAGCCAGGCAUCGAGAGACUCCUGGGAAAGGUGGGAACCACGUACUUGAAUCACCUACCAGACUGGAAUAUUUGCUCUUCAUCUAAAAGCUAUGAAAAUCCAAUAAAGUUUUUAAAGGCAGGAAAUGUCACCAGCGAGUUCGGUGUUUGGAAGGACAACUGAGCAACACUGAGACACUACCAGGGAAACCCCGAGGAUCAGGUGUUGUCCAGCGUAGGAUAAAGCUGAGGAAAGCUCCCAAGGAGGAGGACCGCAUUAUUUUAUCCAAAACUUAUCACGUUCAAAGUCAUGUUCCUCAUGGAGAUGCGACCUUCCAGAAGAGGCCGUGGGAAGUGCAGGCUGGCCUGGAGAUCUGACCAUCUCAGACGGCAUCUGCCAGGACCACGGCUCAGGCUCAAGGGGUUUAUCAUGGGAGUCGAACAUGAGAGCAUCUUCCAGAGGGAAUGGGCACCUGAAAAUGAUCUAGACCCUAUCCCUGUAGGUGACCUGGGAAGUUUGCUGCAUUGAUAACUUAAACAUGAUCAGGACACAGAGGCUUUCUCAGUCACCUCCCAAGAUCUGAAAGGAAACUCGGAACUUAUGUCUCAAAGUUCUCUUGUCUACCAACAGAGAUGAUCUCAUCGUGGGAGGAAGGGAGACGAGAUCUUGGAGGAGCGGGAGCUUUGCAAAGACUUCAUGAAGACAGGAAUCGAAACACAUCUACAGAGAGGCGACAUCAACCCUGAGAUCCGCUGUGAUAAUUAAUAAAUAAUUGUGGCAUUUUUAGGAAACAAAUGAGCCAUAGGACAGUGGGUAAAAGGAACAAGAAAAUGACUCUUUCCACCUUAGGCCUUAGCCUAAGCAACUCUCCAUUUUAAAACUCCAGUCUGAGACCUGCAAUCUCACCAGGCGCAGCUACGAAGCCCUCCAGUAUGGCCCUCAGGCAGACAAUUCGCUCUCCUUGUAGAGUCAAGUCUCUGUCUUGUUGUCCUCCCUCCAUAAGGGAGAGAGGCAAGAAAAUCAGGGUGGGGACCACCGGACCAGAUGCUUUAACCCCAGGGCAAAUGACAUCACUGAGAAAUCUGGUGGCAGCUGACAGGGAUUGAAAGGGUGGUCAGAAGCCCCCCAAUGUAGUAUAAAUGAUGGAGCAAGUGAAGGGACAUUCAGCCAGCCGACACUGCUGCUCACAGUGACAGCCUGAUGAAGACCCAGACUGACAUCCCAGCUCUCCUCAUCUGCCUGAUCCUCUGGAUCUUCUUCACCACUCUCAAACCCUGCAGCCACACCUUCAUGACGAGAGCCAUGACUUCUCCCUGCGACCCUCACCUCCACUGGCCAUCAGCUCCACCCCAGGAGAAGCCUGCUUCGGUUCUUGAUCUGAUCUCCAUGGUCUGAGUGGGUGUGCAUCUGCUGGACGUAAAAACCUAAGGCUGGAGACUUCUGAUCUGACUCUUGAGCUUAGCCUGCAGAGGGAAUGUCUAUCAUGAGCCUGUCCUGAUGAAGUGCGUUUACAGUGCUUAGAAUUAAUCUAGAAUUGUUUGCUGUGACUUAAUUAUGUCUACUGCAGGGCCCAGCAUGAAGGAUGGUCAUUUAAAGGGCAGGAGCGUGUGGACAUUCUUUCUUUCUCCCCCUUGACUGCAUAAGUCGCAGCUUUUGCCCAUCAAGACAGCACCAUCUUAGUCAGUUCUGCUGCCUGCCCUCUGCUGUACAUCACAAGAAUAGUGACCAGUUGCUCAAAAGCCCCCUCUCAUCUCUGGCACAUGGUGGAGUUCCCUCUUCCACAUCUGUGUCUGCUGGUCUCCUUCUUCCCUGACCAGUCUCUGACUCUACCCAUCUCUGAUGACCUUUGGUUCCUUCGUGUUUAUGUAAUUUCUUACCCCCUGAAUUUGAAGCUGUCUCCAUCUCAUCUUGUUGGUCUAGGGUUCAACUACAGGUAGGGGACUCUCUUGAGGGCGACAUUGUGUUGGAUAAAUGGAGGGGGCGGAAAAACACAAAGAAACUAAAGUCAUGAUUCUUAGUUUCAUGGAGAUGAUUAAUCUUGAGGUUUUCUUGUACUUCUUUCUAAUCAUUUUUCAUUUAUAAGCCCUGAUUGAUGAGUUAAGGAUAACAGCUAACGUAUCUAACGACUCACUCUAUAGAAAGUUCCAUGGUAAACACUUGCCACACCAUCUCAUUUUUUCCCCCUGUUCACCAAUGCUGCUGGUUAUAUUAGUGUCACCACUUGACAGAAGAUACAACAGAAAUGUAGAGGCUCUAGUGGCCUUAAAGUGGUGAAGUAGAAAUCAGAAUUCAGACUGCAGAGGUUGGAGAAUAAGCCUGCAGGAUUCUAGACCUCUAGAUGACAUUGGCAUCCCAGCCCUUGUCCCCUUUCAGAAUAACUGUGGGAUGUGCAACGUCCCAAGAUAAGGUGUUACUGUCCUGAACAACCCAAGCUCUGCUCCCGUCCCUCCUAGAACAGGAUGUCCUAUGACACUUCAGGUACUCCAGAGUAUAAAACGCAGAGUGCAGUGCUUUUGCUCUGGGUUCACUUGUCUGCUGCCUGAUACGGGGCAUGCACAGGCAAGGCUCCAUUGGUUCUGGAUGGCUUUCCUAAACCUUGGAGGUCGGACUCACCACGACUCCUGGGCUUCUGGUGUCCCUGAAAGUACCUGUGAGUAAUAAAGUUGUUUCACUUGGUUCA